rnacentral:antisense_RNA from 1 species
CUCAGACUCCCGAGUAGCUGGGACUACAGGCGCCCGCCACCACGCCUGGCUAAUUUUUUUGUAUUUUUAGUAGAGAUGGGGUUUCACCGUGUUAGCCAGGAUGGACUCGAUCUCCUGACCUCGUGAUCCGCCUGCCUCGGCCUCCCAAAGUGCUGGGAUUACAGGUGUGAACCACAGCACCUGGCCAAGAUUAACAUUUGAGUCAGUGGGCUGGGGAAGGCAGAUCCACCCUUAAUCUGGUGGGCACAAUCUAAUCAGCUGCUGGCAAUUAAAACAGGCAGAAAAACAUAAAAAGCAGAGACAGGCCUAGCCUCCCAGCCUACAUCUUUCUCCCGUGCUGGAUGCUUCCUGCCCUCGAACAUCGGACUCCAAGUUCUUCAAUUUUGAGACUCAGACUGGCUCUCCUUGCUCCUCAGCUUGCAGACAGCCUAUUGUGGGACCUUGUGAUCAUAGACAAGAUCUCACCAUAUUGCCCAGGCUGGUCUUGAAUUCUUGGGUUCAGGUGACCCACCUGCCUCAGCCUCCCAAAGUGGUGGGAUUAUAGGUGUGAGCCACCACACCCAGCCCAUAAUGGCAGGUUAUACAUGGCAUAAUGUAUAAUGGCAUAUAAUGGAAUAAUGCCAUAAUGCCAUAAAGGCAGGUUAUACAUUAGCAACAUGGACUUCCAC